AACAGGAUUAGAUACCCUGGUAGUCCACGCCGUAAACGAUGUCGACUUGGAGGUUGUGCCCUUGAGGCGUGGCUUCCGGAGCUAACGCGUUAAGUCGACCGCCUGGGGAGUACGGCCGCAAGGUUAAAACUCAAAUGAAUUGACGGGGGCCCGCACAAGCGGUGGAGCAUGUGGUUUAAUUCGAUGCAACGCGAAGAACCUUACCUACUCUUGACAUCCAGAGAACUUAGCAGAGAUGCUUUGGUGCCUUCGGGAACUCUGAGACAGGUGCUGCAUGGCUGUCGUCAGCUCGUGUUGUGAAAUGUUGGGUUAAGUCCCGCAACGAGCGCAACCCUUAUCCUUUGUUGCCAGCGGUUAGGCCGGGAACUCAAAGGAGACUGCCAGUGAUAAACUGGAGGAAGGUGGGGAUGACGUCAAGUCAUCAUGGCCCUUACGAGUAGGGCUACACACGUGCUACAAUGGCGCAUACAAAGAGAAGCGACCUCGCGAGAGCAAGCGGACCUCAUAAAGUGCGUCGUAGUCCGGAUUGGAGUCUGCAACUCGACUCCAUGAAGUCGGAAUCGCUAGUAAUCGUGGAUCAGAAUGCCGCGGUGAAUACGUUCCCGGGCCUUGUACACACCGCCCGUCACACCAUGGGAGUGGGUUGCAAAAGAAGUAGGUAGCUUAACCUUCGGGAGGGCGCUUACCACUUUGUGAUUCAUGACUGGGGUGAAGUCGUAACAAGGUAACC
rnacentral:rRNA from 1 species